rnacentral:rRNA from 1 species
GACGAACGCUGGCGGCGUGCCUAAUACAUGCAAGUAGAACGCACAGUUUAUACCGUAGCUUGCUACACCAUAGACUGUGAGUUGCGAACGGGUGAGUAACGCGUAGGUAACCUGCCUGGUAGCGGGGGAUAACUAUUGGAAACGAUAGCUAAUACCGCAUAAUAUUAAUUAUUGCAUGAUAAUUAAUUGAAAGGUGCAAUUGCACCACUACCAGAUGGACCUGCGUUGUAUUAGCUAGUAGGUGAGGUAACGGCUCACCUAGGCGACGAUACAUAGCCGACCUGAGAGGGUGAUCGGCCACACUGGGACUGAGACACGGCCCAGACUCCUACGGGAGGCAGCAGUAGGGAAUCUUCGGCAAUGGACGAAAGUCUGACCGAGCAACGCCGCGUGAGUGAAGAAGGGUUUCGGAUCGUAAAGCUCUGUUGUAAGAGAAGAACGGGUGUGAGAGUGGAAAGUUCACACUGUGACGGUAGCUUAACAGAAAGGGACGGCUAACUACGUG